GGUUGAUCCUGCCAGUAGUCAUAUGCUUGUCUCAAAGAUUAAGCCAUGCAUGUCCAAGUAUAAACCACUUUGUACGGUGAAACUGCGAAUGGCUCAUUAUAUCAGUUAUUGUUUAUUUGAUGAUACCUUGCCACAUGGAUAACCGUGGUAAUUCUAGAGCUAAUACAUGCACGCCAGGUCCGACUAGUCCUCUCGCAAGAGGGGGUGGGAAGGGCCGUGUUUAUUAGGUAAAAGCCAACCCGGGGCAACCCGGCCGCUGGUGAUUCAUGAUAACUUUGCGAACCGCAUUGCC
rnacentral:rRNA from 1 species